UUUUUAAUGAUGACCGCAUAGUUCAGAUGACUGUUCUGAUUACAACUAGCAUCUUGUCUUUCGCUCCUAUCUGACUUAUUUG
rnacentral:snoRNA from 1 species